rnacentral:rRNA from 1 species
UACAGAGGUCUCAAGCGUUAAUCGGAAUCACUGGGCUUAAAGGGUGCGUAGGCGGACUCGCAAGUGCUUUGUGAAAUCCCACGGCUCAACCGUGGAACGGCUUGGCAGACUGCGGGGCUCGAGGUUGGUAGGGGCCGCCGGAACUCUAGGUGGAGCGGUGAAAUGCGUAGAUAUCUAGAGGAACGCCAAAGGUGAAGACAGGCGGCUGGGCCAAUUCUGACGCUGAGGCACGAAAGCGUGGGUAGCGAACGGG